rnacentral:rRNA from 1 species
AUUCCGGUUGAUCCUGCCGGAGGACAUUGCUAUUGGGAUUCGAUUUAGCCAUGCUAGUCGAGCGAGUUCAGACUCGCGGCGAAUAGCUCAGUAACACGUGGCCAAGCUCCCCUUCAGUCAGCGAUACCCUCGGGAAACUGAGGUUAACAGCUGAUACAAAACGCCAGCUGGAAUGCGGCGUUUCAGAAAGACAUCGCUGAAGGAUGCGGCUGCGGCCGAUUAGGUAGACGGUGGGGUAACGGCCCACCGUGCCAGUAAUCGGUACGGGUGAUGAGAGUCAGAGCCCGGAGACGGAAUCUGAGACAAGAUUCCGGGCCCUACGGGGCGCAGCAGGCGCGAAACCUUUACACUGCACGGAAGUGCGAUAGGGGAAUCCCAAGUGCGAGGGCAUAUUAGCCCUCGCUUUUCUCGACUGUAAGGUGGUCGACGAAUAAGAGCUGGGCAAGACCGGUGCCAGCCGCCGCGGUAAUACCGGCAGCUCAAG